GACAUCGAAUAUCGACGUCAUCAACACCAAAGUUGAUCGUGUUUAUGACGUCGAAUAUCGACGUUAUAAACACCAAAUUUGAUCGUGUUUAUGACGUCGGAUAUCGACGUUAUAUACACCAAAGUUGAUCGUGUUUAUGACGUCGAAUAUCGACGUCAUCAACACCAAAGUUGAUCGUGUUUAUGACGUUGAAUAUCGACGUCAAAAACACCAAAGAUGAUCGUGUUUAUGACGUCGAAUAUCGACGUC
rnacentral:miRNA from 1 species